AUGCCCAGUUCCGCUUGCCUCCUCUGCUUCGACGUCAUCCCCGUCGCCGGAGGAUGCAGCACCCGGCCGCCUCGAGCCCCGACGCCGGCGAGCCAUCACCUCCGCCGCCCUUGCCCGUUCCCGACCGGCGUCGCUCUGCAACCCGUCGCUGCCAUUUGUCUUCAGAGACGAGCAGAGCAGUUCCCCCGCGCCUGGAACCGCUCGAUCUCGUUGACCACAGCCACGCGCUCGUGCAUCGCCUCGCUGGGCCGCUGCCAAGGCCCAGCCUACUUCCCCAUGAAUUCGGCCUCCUCCAGUCGUAAACCGAGCGGGCCAAGCCCCACUUGGAUUUCAGGCAAGAUGACCAUACCCUCGAAAUCACUUCUAUCUUUGCUUGCUAGUUGCUCGCUCUUUUGCUAUGCCUAUGCUGUGAUUCCUACCACUUGCUUAUCAUGUCUCCCAUAUUGUUAA
rnacentral:rRNA from 1 species